GCUUUAAUAGUUUAAAAAAAACAAUGAUUUUGUAAAUCAUAAAUGAAUUUAUAUCUUAAAACU
rnacentral:tRNA from 1 species